rnacentral:rRNA from 1 species
AUUGAACGCUGGCGGCAGGCCUAACACAUGCAAGUCGAACGAGUGGCGGACGGGUGAGUAAUGUCUGGGAAACUGCCUGAUGGAGGGGGAUAACUACUGGAAACGGUAGUUAAUACCGCAUACCAUCAGAUGUGCCCAUAUGGGAUUAGCUAGUUGGUGGGGUAACGGCUCACCAAGGCGACGAUCCCUAGCUGGGCUGAGAGGAUGACCAGCCACACUGGAACUGAGACGAGGUCCAGACGCCUACGGUAGGCAGCAGUGGGGGAUAUUGCACAGUGGGCGCAAGCCUGAUGCAGCCAUGCAGCGGGUAUGAAGAAGGCCUUCGGGUUGUAAAGUACGUUCAGCGGGGAGGCGUUACCCGCAGAAGAAGCACCGGCUAACGCCGUGCCAGCAGCCGCGGUAAUUC